AAGAGCUGUGAGGCAAGUUACAGAGACACUCAAUGCCAAAUUUAACAAAUGGCCCAUCCAGCAUGACCGGAAUGCCAUGAAAGCUAAAUGUUUGCUCCGAGCACAUGCUUUGCAUUACAGUCCAAUCACCACAGGCAAGAUUGUGAAUGCAUGUUAUAUUUUGCACAGUAUUGCAAACAAGACCAACGCCCGUGCCUCCACUCAUGCCUGUGGAAGCUCUUCAUCUGCAACAGGAUGAACACAAUUCAAGGGCCGAGAGUUGGAAAGUGCUAUUGAUGGACAGCAUUCACAAAGCCAUCGAGUUAACCAAGGUCUGCUUGAAGGUAGAGUGCUGCAGCAGGCUCUCAUCAACAGGCUGUGGAGAAAUGCAUGAAAUUAAUAAUAAAUAAUUGAAAUAAAUGAUUUUGAAUUUU